GACGAACGCUGGCGGCGUGCCUAACACAUGCAAGUCGAACGGGGUGAUUCCUUCGGGGAUCGCUUAGUGGCGAACGGGUGAGUAACGCGUGAGAAACCUGCCUUUCAGUGGGGGACAACAGUUGGAAACGACUGCUAAUACCGCAUAAUGUUUCGAGAGGGCAUCCUUUUGAAACCAAAGCUUUAUGUGCUGAAAGAUGGUCUCGCGUCUGAUUAGCUAGUUGGUGAGGUAACGGCUCACCAAGGCGACGAUCAGUAGCCGGUCUGAGAGGAUGAACGGCCACAUUGGGACUGAGAUACGGCCCAGACUCCUACGGGAGGCAGCAGUGGGGAAUAUUGGGCAAUGGGGGAAACCCUGACCCAGCAACGCCGCGUGAAGGAAGAAGGCCUUCGGGUUGUAAACUUCUUUUACCAGGGACGAAGAACGUGACGGUACCUGGAGAAAAAGCAACGGCUAACUACGUGCCAGCAGCCGCGGUAAUAC
rnacentral:rRNA from 1 species